rnacentral:rRNA from 1 species
GAUGAACGCUGGCGGCGUGCCUAAUACAUGCAAGUCGAGCGAACAGACGAGGAGCUUGCUCCUUUGACGUUAGCGGCGGACGGGUGAGUAACACGUAGGUAACCUACCUAUAAGACUGGGAUAACUUCGGGAAACCGGAGCUAAUACCGGAUAAUAUUUCGAACCGCAUGGUUCGAUAGUGAAAGAUGGCUUUGCUAUCACUUAUAGAUGGACCCGCGUCGUAUUAGCUAGUUGGUAAGGUAACGGCUUACCAAGGCAACGAUACGUAGCCGACCUGAGAGGGUGAUCGGCCACACUGGAACUGAGACACGGUCCAGACUCCUACGGGAGGCAGCAGUAGGGAAUCUUCCGCAAUGGGCGAAAGCCUGACGGAGCAACGCCGCGUGAGUGAUGAAGGUCUUCGGAUCGUAAAACUCUGUUAUUAGGGAAGAACAAACGUGUAAGUAACUGUGCACGUCUUGACGGUACCUAAUCAGAAAGCCACGGCUAACUACGUG